GUUGGGUAGGGGAGCGUUCUGUAAGCCUGCGAAGGUGGCCUGUGAGGGUUGCUGGAGGUAUCAGAAGUGCGAAUGCUGACAUAAGUAACGAUAAAGCGGGUGAAAAGCCCGCUCGCCGGAAGACCAAGGGUUCCUGUCCAACGUUAAUCGGGGCAGGGUGAGUCGACCCCUAAGGCGAGGCCGAAAGGCGUAGUCGAUGGGAAACGGGUUAAUAUUCCCGUACUUGGUGUUACUGCGAAGGGGGGACGGAGAAGGCUAUGUUGGCCGGGCGACGGUUGUCCCGGUUUAAGCGUGUAGGUGUGUGUUCCAGGUAAAUCCGGUUCACUUUAACACUGAGGCGUGAUGACGAGGCACUACGGUGCUGAAGCAACAAAUGCCCUGCUUCCAGGAAAAGCCUCUAAGCAUCAGGUAACAUCAAAUCGUACCCCAAACCGACACAGGUGGUCAGGUAGAGAAUACCAAGGCGCUUGAGAGAACUCGGGUGAAGGAACUAGGCAAAAUGGUGCCGUAACUUCGGGAGAAGGCACGCUGACACGUAGGUGAAGUGAUUUACUCAUGGAGCUGAAGUCAGUCGAAGAUACCAGCUGGCUGCAACUGUUUAUUAAAAACACAGCACUGUGCAAACACGAAAGUGGACGUAUACGGUGUGACGCCUGCCCGGUGCCGGAAGGUUAAUUGAUGGGGUCAGCGCAAGCGAAGCUCCUGAUCGAAGCCCCGGUAAACGGCGGCCGUAACUAUAACGGUCCUAAGGUAGCGAAAUUCCUUGUCGGGUAAGUUCCGACCUGCACGAAUGGCGUAAUGAUGGCCAGGCUGUCUCCACCCGAGACUCAGUGAAAUUGAACUCGCUGUGAAGAUGCAGUGUACCCGCGGCAAGACGGAAAGACCCCGUGAACCUUUACUAUAGCUUGACACUGAACAUUGAGCCUUGAUGUGUAGGAUAGGUGGGAGGCUUUGAAGUGUGGACGCCAGUCUGCAUGGAGCCGACCUUGAAAUACCACCCUUUAAUGUUUGAUGUUCUAACGUGGACCCGUAAUCCGGGUUGCGGACAGUGUCUGGUGGGUAGUUUGACUGGGGCGGUCUCCUCCUAAAGAGUAACGGAGGAGCACGAAGGUUGGCUAAUCCUGGUCGGACAUCAGGAGGUUAGUGCAAUGGCAUAAGCCAGCUUGACUGCGAGCGUGACGGCGCGAGCAGGUGCGAAAGCAGGUCAUAGUGAUCCGGUGGUUCUGAAUGGAAGGGCCAUCGCUCAACGGAUAAAAGGUACUCCGGGGAUAACAGGCUGAUACCGCCCAAGAGUUCAUAUCGACGGCGGUGUUUGGCACCUCGAUGUCGGCUCAUCACAUCCUGGGGCUGAAGUAGGUCCCAAGGGUAUGGCUGUUCGCCAUUUAAAGUGGUACGCGAGCUGGGUUUAGAACGUCGUGAGACAGUUCGGUCCCUAUCUGCCGUGGGCGCUGGAGAACUGAGGGGGGCUGCUCCUAGUACGAGAGGACCGGAGUGGACGCAUCACUGGUGUUCGGGUUGUCAUGCCAAUGGCACUGCCCGGUAGCUAAAUGCGGAAGAGAUAAGUGCUGAAAGCAUCUAAGCACGAAACUUGCCCCGAGAUGAGUUCU
rnacentral:rRNA from 3 species